GAAAUGGGAGGAAGUCCAUGUGAGACGCAGCGGCGUGAACAAACAAUAAAGUUGUUUUCUUUGAAAAGUAAAUGCUUUUAAAUGGUCUAAUCUCACUGACGACGAGGCUACGACGCGGGAAGAGCGGAGGUUUUCCUCACCUUCUGCAGAUCUUCUAUGGAGCGCUCGGUCUCCUUCAGACGCUCCCGCAGAACCUGCUCUUUGGCGGAGAUCAGAGACUCUUCACUCUCCAGUGCACCGAUGUCAGACUCCAGACUGUGAACACAAAAGAGACGAGACCAGGUCUUCGGUUAGGGACCAAGAACAAGCGGAAGAAUCAAGAAUAAACUCAGAGCAGAGAA